ensembl:lncRNA novel transcript
GAGGGGGCUGGGGUGGGUGAGGCACAGACACUUGCUGCCAGAGCAUGUGUAACCAGCAGUCCUUUGUUCACCAUACCUGCUUCAAUCAUUGUUAGGAAACCUAACAAUGUCUAUUACAGCAAUGCCAUCAUAAAUGUCUGAAUCAACGUGGCUGAAAGAAACACCACUAAGAUUGAACUGAAGACUCCUAGAAGAAAACAGAUAACAGCAGAAAUAGCCCUGAGAGAUCAAAUUGCUUUUUAUUCCAUGGACAUCAUGAUUUGACACAGAAAGGUUAGAAAAUACAAAUAUAUAUCACUGAGUUCAAA